rnacentral:rRNA from 1 species
GACGAACGCUGGCGGCGUGCUUAACACAUGCAAGUCGAACGGAAAGGCCCUGCUUUUGUGGGGUGCUCGAGUGGCGAACGGGUGAGUAACACGUGAGUAACCUGCCCUUGACUUUGGGAUAACUUCAGGAAACUGGGGCUAAUACCGGAUAGGAGCUCCUGCUGCAUGGUGGGGGUUGGAAAGUUUCGGCGGUUGGGGAUGGACUCGCAGCUUAUCAGCUUGUUGGUGGGGUAGUGGCUUACCAAGGCUUUGACGGGUAGCCGGCCUGAGAGGGUGACCGGCCAAAUUGGGACGGGGAAACGGCCCAGCUCCCGACGGGGGGCAGCAGGGGGAAAUAUUGCACAAGGGGCGGAAGCCGGAGGCAGCAACGCCGGGGGCGGGAGGACGGCCUUCGGGUUGUAAACCGCUUUCGCCUGUAACGAAGCGGGAGGGACGGUAAUGGGUAAAGAAGCACCGGCUAACUACGG